UACGUAGGGUGCAAGCGUUGUCCGGAAUUAUUGGGCGUAAAGAGCUCGUAGGCGGUUCGUCGCGUCGGCUGUGAAAUCCCGAGGCUCAACCUCGGGUCUGCAGUCGAUACGGGCGGACUGGAGUACUGCAGGGGAGACUGGAAUUCCUGGUGUAGCGGUGAAAUGCGCAGAUAUCAGGAGGAACACCAAUGGCGAAGGCAGCUCGCUGGAACGGUACUGACGCUGUGGCGCGAAAGCGUGGGGAGCGAACAGG
rnacentral:rRNA from 1 species